AGCAAAGAAUACAUUUCAACGAUCCAGUCCAAGAAUAAGUAAAUGGCAUCCUUCCAGUGGAGAGCUGACAGCUGGGAUUGAAACAAGAUCCAGAAUUCACCCUGCUGUUUCUCCAUGAGUCUGACCUGCAUCAACUGCCUCCCUUAUUCUGGGAUUCCAGUUGUGGAGCUCAAGGACAAGUCCAUUCUGGGCUGGCUGUAUCCAACUUCUUUAGUCCAACUAUAUCCCCACUGGAAGCCAGGCUCUUUCCAACAGCUGUCACCCAUGCCUCUUUCUAUGUUUGUUAUCUGUCUCUAGGUUCUGGUAACUACUUCCUUCCCUUGCCCCUUCUGGCCUAGGGUGCUACCAAUCCCUCCUCCAAAUCCAACUGUCACUAGCCUCAAAGUACUUGUAGCUUCCUCACCUUACUUUCACCUUAAUAAAUGGUCCCCCUACUAUCUCUCUUCAAAGCACCCAAUUUGAGUGUGCCAUCUGUUUCUUGCCAGGAUCCUGGUUGGUACAUCAACCAAGCUGCACUGAUGGAGGAGCACUGUGCUGAACUUUAGGAAUGAAGCCACAGGGCCCUCACUGCCCCCAUAGUCACCUUGGUCAUCUUCUGCCUCCCUGAAAGACUAAAUUCAGUCAGUUCAGAUACAUACACAUCCAGACAUGUCAGGGAAAACUCCAUUUUGUAAGGAUCUCUGCUUAAAAUGCCAAAAGUUUGAAAGUUGGCAAACACUUGAGAAAAGCACAGUUCUCUGUCUUACUCUUACUCUAAACUUGGAGAUAAAUGCAUUUUUAAAAUUGUGCAUGUUAGAGUGCUAACGUGUACAAGAUCAUUUCUGGUGAGACACCACAAACAAUAUUUUAUGAGGCCAAAAUAAGAAAGAAGGAAAUGAAAUAGCUCAGGAAUCUCAGGAAGAGCUCAUCGAACACUUUGCCUUUAUCUCAGACCAUUUUAUCCACAGCCCUGUUAAUCAGGAUUGGAUAUACCUCCAUGAGGGAGUCUUAAACGGAGGGAAAGAGAUGCCACAACUAAAAAAAAGAAUGCAAUAGAAGUUUGUCUUAAUGCCUGUUCUGUGAUGCACAACUUUCGUAAGCCAAAAUUUUAACCUUAUGAACAAUCAGUUCUGUGCUGCCCUUAGCAGAGAACCAUAAAUUAAAGAUAAGCAAUGGUUCAGACUUUCCAGGGCCUUGACUCAGGAGUAACUCUGAAAUCCCAACCAAAUAUGUAUUUGGUUAAGCAAUUUGGCACAUUUUUCUAUUUUGAGGCAUUAAACUAU
rnacentral:lncRNA from 10 species